AUUGAACGCUGGCGGCAGGCCUAACACAUGCAAGUCGAGCGGAUGAGUGGAGCUUGCUCCAUGAUUCAGCGGCGGACGGGUGAGUAAUGCCUAGGAAUCUGCCUGGUAGUGGGGGACAACGUUUCGAAAGGAACGCUAAUACCGCAUACGUCCUGCGGGAGAAAGUGGGGGAUCUUCGGACCUCACGCUAUCAGAUGAGCCUAGGUCGGAUUAGCUAGUUGGUGAGGUAAAGGCUCACCAAGGCGACGAUCCGUAACUGGUCUGAGAGGAUGAUCAGUCACACUGGAACUGAGACACGGUCCAGACUCCUACUGGAGGCAGCAGUGGGGAAUAUUGGACAAUGGGCGAAAGCCUGAUCCAGCCAUGCCGCGUGUGUGAAGAAGGUCUUCGGAUUGUAAAGCACUUUAAGUUGGGAGGAAGGGCAGUAAGUUAAUACCUUGCUGUUUUGACGUUACCAACAGAAUAAGCACCGGCUAACUUCGUGCCAGCCGCCGCAGUAAAAC
rnacentral:rRNA from 1 species